CUGAUUCAGAAAGAGAAACUGCUCCUCCUCCACCCUGGCUCUUUCUAAAGCAGAAGUAUUAAUAUAUUUAAUCUUCUACAGGAUAUUCAAAUAGAAGCCUUGCUGAUGAGAGCCUGUGAGCCCAUAAUUCAGAACUUCUGCCACGAUGUGGCAGAUAACCAGAUAGACUCUGGGGACCUGAUGGAGUGUCUGAUACAGAACAAACACCAGAAGGACAUGAACGAGAAGUGUGCCAUCGGAGUCACCCACUUCCAGCUGGUGCAGAUGAAGGAUUUUCGGUUUUCUUACAAGUUUAAAAUGGCCUGCAAGGAGGACGUGUUGAAGCUUUGCCCAAACAUAAAAAAGAAGGUGGACGUGGUGAUCUGCCUGAGCACGACCGUGCGUAAUGACACUCUGCAGGAAGCCAAGGAGCACAGGGUGUCCCUGAAGUGCCGCAGGCAGCUCCGCGUGGAGGAGCUGGAGAUGACGGAGGACAUUCGCUUGGAGCCAGAUCUAUACGAAGCCUGCAAGAGUGACAUCAAAAACUUCUGUUCCACUGUGCAAUAUGGCAACGCU
rnacentral:sRNA from 1 species